ensembl:lncRNA
AUAUCAUUGACUCAUGCUAGCCCUCAGAGACAACCUUAUGUCCCAUGAACAUGAAAUGCUUCAACACAGACAUUGGCCCAAUCCCAUUUCUACCCCUUACCCCUUCCCCUUACCCCUCCCCCUUGUUUUGAAGGGGUAAAGGGAAGGGGGCAGGGGAAGGGAUAAGGGGUAGAAAUGGGAUUGGGCCUUUGAUUGUACAUUACACAUCCACUGUUGUUUAUUCUGUUCGGUUAUCCAUGCGCCUUGGUUAACUGCUUUCAAUGACACACACACAGUAUAUAAAUACAUAAAAAGUCAGUGGUUACAAAUGUGCACAGGACCCCUUGGUGCGCUUAAUCAGCUUCUCAUCCCUCAUUCAGUCACCUUGACAACAGACCUGUCAUUAACAAGCAAACUUGCAUAGCAAAAGAAAUAUAUUAAAAAAAAUGGAAGGACUUGACCAGAAGAGCUUUCUGGUCUACAAUAGAAGCUUCAUUGGGUGAGCAUAUGACAAGCUUUCGUGUUUGUUGUUUCAAGGUUGUUUGGUUUAAGGCUGUUUGCUAUUCUCAGACGCUCAUGGCAGGUGUAGUAGCAGGAAGAUGGAGAUGGCACUAUGGUAAACACAAAGAAUGGUUUAAGUAUUGCAUCCAGUAUUAUUGAUGUGGGAUUGUUCACUCUCAGAGCGGCUGUUGGCCCUCCACCGCACGUUUCAGGAGGAACUGCAGGGGACAGCAGAUGUUAGCUGCUCACCAUUCCUUCUGGGAACUCCAGGGGUACUUAGACACGGUGGAUGGCAGGAAAGUCUGCAGGAUUAAGCAUGCGCGGCUGGAUGUCUGGGAUCUGUCUGUGCCCAACUCACCACGCACAUCGCCUCCACUCUUUCUAUACAUCUCUCUUCCGCUGUCUCUCUGUCUUUACUUUUUGAAUGCAACACAUUUUAGGCUGAGAAGGAAUGGAAUAGAUAGUGAGAGCAAGGGUCAGAAUACAUCACAGUUUUUAGGUACUUUGUGAAAUCUAGGGUAAACCUUGAAUGUGAAUAUUAGGUUAUGAUAAAGCCUGUUUUUCCAAUGAUAUAACAGGGCUUGGUUUGACUUUAACUAAAUGGAAUAGCUUUAAUAACGCAAGGUAAUAAUAUUACAACUAAGACUUGUAAAAUCUAGUUUUACUAAAACUAAUUUGCAAUGUGUCAUGAAGUUUUACCAAAAAAGGCCUCUCUCCAUCUCACCUUUAUCCCUCUCUUUCUCUAACACAUGCUGUGCUAGAGGUUCACCUUGAACAGAUGCUGACGGGGCCCCCAUGUAGCUGGGAGACAACGAUGUAUUGGGCCCCUACACACACACACACACACACACACACACACACACACACACACACACACACACACACACACACACACACACACACACACACACACACACAUACACACACACACAUACACACACACACACACACACACACACACACACACACACACACACACCCCUUCCCUGGAUGACGUCCAAGAGCAGGUGGUGGUGGUGGUUGGGGGGGGUAUUUGCAUGUCUGAGUUUGUGUUUUCUAAAGCACAUCCUGGACUAUCCUGCUUGAUAAAAGGGUCAAUAGAAGUGAAAGGAAAGAUAAACCGUGACAGACCUGGGGGGGGAUAUGGAAUAUAACAACCAAUAACAACCCAGAAUCAAUUGCCUACGUGGUUGACGCCUGCAAUUCAACUAAGAAAUCGUUCUACCUCGAUCAAUCUCUUACACGCCAGCUUGCUCUUAGAUUAACCCCGGUUUUUCUUAAGAGGUUUGUCAAGCUUAACAAACAUCCAACGUAGCGUAUUAAAGUGCAUCAGCUCUCUCACAGUGAGCGGGGCGCUCAGUGGAACGACCGGAGUCAAGCUCUUUAGAGUCAGCAGACUUUACCAGGGGUGCAACAAUGCACACAUUGUCUGCACGCACAUGAAGAGUGCAACGCCCUCCCAUUUGAGUUCAUUAUGAACUACAAUAUACCAUACGUAAUAUAUAUAAUAAUACAAGACAGAAAAAAGCACGGUAGUUGGUUUUGAGAAAAGAGAGGGAUACACUGAGACACAUAGGCCCAAUCCCAUUUCUACCCCUUAGCCCUCCCCUUACCCCUCCCCCUUGUUUUGAAGGGGUAAGGGGAAGGGGUAAGGGGAAGGGGUAAGGGUAGGAAUGGGAUUGGGCCAUACUCAACCACAUACACGCACACACACGCAUGAACGCCUUACAAACUCGACACCCGCCACACCCAGGCCGCCCAAUAAGGCGCCACUAAAACUGCAGAAACACGGCCCUGUCCAGCCACCAGACAAGGAUAGAUGGAGAGGGAGAGCAGGCAGGGAGGGUUGGUG